AAACUCGGAAGGAUCAUUACAGAAUGAAAGUGCUUAACUGCAUUUUUUUUACACAUGUGUUUUUCUUUUUUUUUGAAAACUUUGCUUUGGUGGGCCCAUGGCCUGCCAGAGAUUAAACUCAACCAAAUUUUUAUUUAAGUCAACUGAUUAACUAAUAGUCAAAACUUUCAACAACGGAUCUCUUGGUUCUCGCAUCGAUGAAGAACGCAGCGAAAUGCGAUAAGUAAUAUGAAUUGCAGAUAUUCGUGAAUCAUCGAAUCUUUGAACGCACAUUGCGCCCUUUGGUAUUCCAAAGGGCAUGCCUGUUUGAGCGUCAUUUCUCCCUCAAACCUUCGGGUUUGGUGUUGAGCGAUACGCUGGGUUUGCUUGAAAGAAAGGCGGAGUAUAAACUAAUGGAUAGGUUUUUUUUCCACUCAUUGGUACAAACUCCAAAAUUCUUCCAAAUUCGACCUCAAAUCAGGUAGGACUACCCGCGAACUUAGCCC
rnacentral:rRNA from 1 species